rnacentral:rRNA from 1 species
AGAACGAACGCUGGCGGCAUGCCUAACACAUGCAAGUCGAACGAGACCUUCGGGUCGAGUGGCGCACGGGUGCGUAACGCGUGGGAACCUGCCUUUAGGUUCGGAAUAACGCCUCGAAAGGGGUGCUAAUACCGAAUAAUGUCUUCGGACCAAAGAUUUAUCGCCUUUAGAUGGGCCCGCGUUGGAUUAGCUAGUUGGUGGGGUAAAGGCCUACCAAGGCGACGAUCCAUAGCUGGUCUUAGAGGAUGAUCAGCCACACUGGGACUGAGACACGGCCCAAACUCCUACGGGAGGCAGCAGUGGGGAAUAUUGGACAAUGGGCGCAAGCCUGAUCCAGCCAUGCCGCGUGAGUGAUGAAGGCCCUAGGGUUGUAAAGCUCUUUUGUGCGGGAAGAUAAUGACGGUACCGCAAGAAUAAGCCCCGGCUAACUUCGUGCCAGCAGCCGC